AAGUCGUAACAAGGUUUCCGUAGGUAAGUAAAUCAAGACCCGAAUACCCUCAACAAUCUCGAAAGUGACUUUGAAUGCUAACUCUUAUGUUUAGGUGAACCUGCGGAAGGAUCAUUAAAGGUUGCCGAGCCCGGCCCUUCUGGGGUCGGCGUGAAGCUUCAAACCCCCAUGUCUACGUUACAAAAUUUUUUAAACUCCAAAAAACAUUGGAAUCAUGAAAUAAAAACUAAAAA
rnacentral:misc_RNA from 1 species